rnacentral:rRNA from 1 species
AGAGUUUGAUCAUGGCUCAGAACGAACGCUGGCGGCGUGGAUUAGGCAUGCAAGUCGAACGGGAACCUUAGGAUUCAAUUCUUCGGAAAAGAUUCCUUUGGCGAGAGUGGCGAAAGGGUGAGUAACGCGUGGGCAAUUUGCCCUUAAGUUGGGGAUAGCCACUGGAAACGGUGGAUAAUACCGAAUGUGGUCGUACAUCGCAUGAUGUACUGUCUAAAGAUGGGGAUCUUCGGACCUGUCACUUAAGGAUGAGCCCGCGUCCCAUCAGCUUGUUGGUAGGGUAACGGCCUACCAAGGCAUACAGGUAGCUGGUCUGAGAGGAUGGUCAGCCACACUGGGACUGAGACACUGCCCAGACUCCUACGGGAGGCUGCAGUCGAGAAUCAUUCGCAAUGCGCGAAAGCGUGACGAUGCGACGCCGCGUGUAGGAUGACGGCCUUCGGGUUGUAAACUACUGUCAUGGGGGAACAACCGUCCGAGUGUUAAUACCACUUGGGCCUGAUGGUACCCCAAGAGGAAGCCACGGCUAACUCUGUGCCAGCAGCCGCGGUAAUACAGAGGUGGCGAGCGUUGUUCGGAUUUACUGGGCGUAAAGGGUGCGUAGGCGGUUUUGUAUGUCGGAUGUGAAAUCUCACUUUUCAUGGGUGAAACUGCAUUCGAAACUGCAGAGCUAGAGUACGGAAGAGGAGAGCGGAAUUCUUGGUGUAGCGGUGAAAUGCGUAGAUAUCAAGAGGAACACCGGUGGCGAAGGCGGCUCUCUGGAACGAUACUGACGCUGAGGCACGAAAGCUGGGGGAGCAAACAGGAUUAGAUACCCUGGUAGUCCCAGCCGUAAACGGUGUGCACUUGGUGUAGGUCGGUUUGUCCCGACCUGUGCCGGAGCUAACGCGUUAAGUGCACCGCCUGGGGAGUACGGUCGCAAGGCUAAAACUCAAAGGAAUUGACAGGGGCCCGCACAAGCGGUGGAGCAUGUGGUUUAAUUCGAUGCAACGCGAAGAACCUUACCCAGGCUUGACAUGCACUGGACCGGUGUAGAAACACACCUUCUCCGUAAGGGGCCGGUGCACAGGUGCUGCAUGGCUGUCGUCAGCUCGUGUCGUGAGAUGUUGGGUUAAGUCCCGCAACGAGCGCAACCCUUGCCUCUAGUUGCUAGCAAGUAAAGUUGAGCACUCUAGAGGGACUGCCGUCGAUAGGACGGAGGAAGGUGGGGAUGACGUCAAGUCCUCAUGGUCCUUACGCCUGGGGCUACACACGUGCUACAAUGGCCGGUACAAAGGGUUGCAAAGCCGCGAGGUUGAGCGAAUCCCAAAAAACCGGUCUCAGUUCGGAUUGCGGUCUGCAACUCGACUGCAUGAAGUCGGAAUCGCUAGUAAUCGCUGAUCAGCAGGCAGCGGUGAAUAUGUUCCCGGGCCUUGUACACACCGCCCGUCAAGCCACGAAAGCUGGUAGUACCCGACGUCGCUGUCCUAACCGCAAGGAAGGAGGCGCCUAAGGUAAGAUUGGUGAUUGGGGCUAAGUCGUAACAAGGUA